UCAAAAUGAAAAAUGGUCAAAAGACCAAAGAGUUGUAAUUCCCACUAAAUUUGGCGACAUCUUAGAAUUUGGAUCAUAUCUCAUUUUAGAAAUGUCC